rnacentral:rRNA from 1 species
GAGCCAUGAAAGUUAGCGGCGGAGGGUGAGUACACGUGGGUACCUGCCUGUAAGACUGGGAUAACUCCGGGAAACCGGAGCUAAUACCGGAUAGUUCCUUGAACCGCAUGGUUCAAGGAUGAAAGACGGUUUCGGCUGUCACUUACAGAUGGACCCGCGGCGCAUUAGCUAGUUGGUGAGGUAACGGCUCACCAAGGCGACGAUGCGUAGCCGACCUGAGAGGGUGAUCGGCCACACUGGGACUGAGACACGGCCCAGACUCCUACGGGAGGCAGCAGUAGGGAAUCUUCCGCAAUGGACGAAAGUCUGACGGAGCAACGCCGCGUGAGUGAUGAAGGUUUUCGGAUCGUAAAGCUCUGUUGUUAGGGAAGAACAAGUGCAAGAGUAACUGCUUGCACCUUGACGGUACCUAACCAGAAAGCCACGGCUAACUACGUGCCAGCAGCCGCGGUAAUACGUAGGUGGCAAGCGUUGUCCGGAAUUAUUGGGCGUAAAGGGCUCGCAGGCGGUUUCUUAAGUCUGAUGUGAAAGCCCCCGGCUCAACCGGGGAGGGUCAUUG